rnacentral:rRNA from 1 species
UGGGGAAUCUUGGACAAUGGGCGCAAGCCUGAUCCAGCCAUGCCGCGUGAGUGAUGAAGGCCCUAGGGUCGUAAAGCUCUUUCGCCAGGGAUGAUAAUGACAGUACCUGGUAAAGAAACCCCGGCUAACUCCGUGCCAGCAGCCGCGGUAAUACGGAGGGGGUUAGCGUUGUUCGGAAUUACUGGGCGUAAAGCGCGCGUAGGCGGACUGUUAAGUCGGGGGUGAAAUCCCGGGGCUCAACCCCGGAACUGCCUCCGAUACUGGCAGUCUAGAGUUCGAGAGAGGUGAGUGGAAUUCCGAGUGUAGAGGUGAAAUUCGUAGAUAUUCGGAGGAACACCAGUGGCGAAGGCGGCUCACUGGCUCGAUACUGACGCUGAGGUGCGAAAGUGUGGGGAGCAAACAGGAUUAGAUACCCCCGUAGUCC